rnacentral:tRNA from 1 species
ACUUUUAAAGGAAAGCAGCUAUCCGGUGACCUUAGGAGUCAAGACCCUUGGUGCAAAUCCAAGUAAAAGUAAUG